CUACGGGUGGCUCCAGUGAGGAAUAUUGCACAAUGGGGGGAACCCUGAUGCAGCAACACCGCGUGGAGGAUGACACAUUUCGGUGUGUAAACUCCUUUUAUAUGUCAAGAAAAUGACGGUAGCAUAUGAAUAAGCACCGGCUAACUCCGUGCCAGCAGCCGCGGUAAUACGGAGGGUGCAAGCGUUACUCGGAAUCACUGGGCGUAAAGGACGCGUAGGCGGGUUGGAAAGUCAGGUGUGAAAUCCUACAGCUUAACCGUAGAACUGCACUUGAAACUUCUAAUCUAGAGUAUGGGAGGGGGAGAUGGAAUUAGUGGUGUAGGGGUAAAAUCCGUAGAUAUCACUAGGAAUACCUAAAGCGAAGGCGAUCUCCUGGAACAUUACUGACGCUAAGGCGUGAAAGCGUGGGGAGCAAACAGGAUUAGAUACCCCAGUAGUC
rnacentral:rRNA from 1 species